rnacentral:tRNA from 1 species
GGAGAGAUGGCAGAGCGGCUGAUCGCGGCGGUCUUGAAAACCGUUGAGGGCAACACCUCCGGGGGUUCAAAUCCCUCUCUCUCCGCCA